CCCAGGCGCUCUAGCCCCGCCGCCUCGGACUCCCUCGGGCCUUUCAGCUAUGGCCUUUCUAGCGCACGCCCUGGCGCUCUUCCAGCUUUGCUGUCAAUCCGAGCGCGCUCCCAGCGCCCGCACGCUCAGCCUGGUUGGCACCGUGUCUAACACUUCGCGUGAUCCUGCGGAAGGCCCCCGCGCUACGCAGCACAGCGGCGGCCCAACCUGCCCCGGCCGGGCCUCGCGCCCAGGCCGCCCCCCUCUCCGCUGCGAGCUUCCUUCCCCGCGGCGCGGAAGUGCGUCGCGAGAGGAAAAGCGCCCCCUUCGGUCCUGAGAGGCAAACCGCCCCGCAGUCCACCAGAAAGAAACCUUUCACAGCGACGCUGAAGAAGUAGUAUUACGAGUAUUAUCUCCGUUGUACACAUGUGAGAACUGAGGCUCCGGGAAAGCGUAAAUUCGGGCCUAAUGGCGUCCCCAGUAAGCAGCAGCACUGAGACUGGACUUUCGACUACUUUUCCUGUGGCUUGUGGUCGCAAGAAUACAUCCAGGAUACCAUGUUUCAUUCAAUCAUCAUGUCUCUGUAGCCUUCUCUUGGUUGUGACAGUUCUUCAGACUUUUUGUUUUUGAUGACCUUGACAGUUUUGAAGAGUACCAG